rnacentral:lncRNA from 1 species
ACCAGUUGGGCCUAGGAAAAUAUUUAGAUAUAAGGAGGUAAUGGGGGAGGAAGAGGAAGAAUUAAAAACCAAGGACAGGGCGUACCAAUAAAAUAAAAAGGGAAAAUAUAAAAAGAAAAAAAACCCGUAAAUCAAUGGUUUGUGCACCUUGUGAUGUAAUCCACCGACCAACCGAACCCUCGGUGGUCCCCGCUUCCCCCACAAAUACUCCUCAUUGCUUUGUGGGCCCCACGAUUCUCCCUCAUUUCCACCACUCCCUCCUCCUUCAAUCCCAACGCUCCAUCCCCUCGUGAUUCACGACCGCCACUCUGAUCCCCCAAUCUCACGGCCCUCAACCCCACGAGCCUCUCUGCGCGGUCAACACUCGAAUAAAAAUAACUUAAAAUAAUAGCUCCCCCUUUGACCAAAGACCAAAGCUGUAGAAUAUAAUAAUAAUAAAAAUAUUACCAGAAAAAAGUACCUUUUGCUCGCGUCAUCAAAGCUUUGACUCUGUUUCUCUCUCUUCUUAAAUCCUCCCUUCGCUGCCCUUUUUUUCUGUUCUUC